CUUUUUAUUAACAACAGUUAGACCACAAGGGAAACUGUCAGGCACUAGAUCACUCUUUCUUCAGCGCCAAAGGACCACAUUUGGAAUGCUGUGUACUGUUCUGGUUACCUCACCUCAAAAAGAAUGUUGCAGAGUUGGAAACAGUUCAGAGAAGGUCAUCAAAAUUACCAACGUGAUGGAGCAACUCCCCUAUGAAGAAAAGCUGCAGCAUUUCGGACCUUUAUAUUUAGAGAAAAGGUCAUGCACAUAUGGAAGGGCGACUAAGGCCCUGCAAUGGCGGUCGGGGAUACUGCCUGGAUAUUCAGUUCCAGUGCCCCUCAGGCCUUCAAUUCAUUAACAACACCUGUCCUAACCCAACAAUGUUUUCUUGCUGUACUCCAGUCCAAUGAAGAACUGAGCGAGGAGCCAAAAACCUGUUGUCAUUUCCCACUGCCAUCAUUCAGAAGAAGAAUCUGUCAUCACACUCUGUUCAAUAAAUAAACCAUUGGUUCAAGGUCA